rnacentral:rRNA from 1 species
AUUGAACGCUGGCGGCAUGCCUUACACAUGCAAGUCGAACGGCAGCACGGGGGCAACCCUGGUGGCGAGUGGCGAACGGGUGAGUAAUGCAUCGGAACGUGCCCAGUAGUGGGGGAUAACUAGUCGAAAGAUUAGCUAAUACCGCAUACGACCUAUGGGUGAAAGCGGGGGAUGCAGCACUUAAUGUUUUGGGAUGGCUACUUGUGGCCGCCUCGGGACAGUCUCAGGUUGAGAACAUUAAGUGCUGCACCUCUCGCUAUCGGAGCGGCCGAUGUCUGAUUAGCUAGUUGGCGGGGUAAAAGCCCACCAAGGCGACGAUCAGUAGCUGGUCUGAGAGGACGACCAGCCACACUGGGACUGAGA